CUGUGUCUGUGAUGUGAGCGACUCUGAGCGUGGAGAUAAGGCGCAAGAGAGAGAGAGCGAAAACGAAAGCGAAGCAACUAGCACUUCUUCUCCCCUUUCCGUCUCCCUGCUCCUUGUCACUCCAUCCUUCUUCCCCUCUCUCGGGCCAGCUUUGACGCAGGACCAGCAACCCCCAACCCCCAACCCCCAUCCCCCCCACCCUCCUACCACCCAGACCGCCCCAGGACCCUUUGACUCUCCUCACUUCUGUCCCACAAACUGCCACUUUAAACAAGAAUCUCCUCUCCUCAUUGUCCCCCGCCCCCAUGGGCCGUGUCGUCUGCAGAACAGCUCAACUUCCCAAAAUACACUGACUCUUGUUCCAUUUUGAACCUGACUGAAGAAAGCAUACCAAAACGUCAGCAUGGGCUUCUGAUCAACUUGAACAAAGGAAGUCUAACAGCUGACGGACUGAGCUGUGUUCAAGUGUGAUCUCUCUGCCUCAACUCUGCUGUCCUUUAUGACCUCGGAAAACAUCACCCACAGACAUUUUAGUGCCUAGCUGGCUGGCACCCCAUCAUAUUCCAUCUCCUUUUGAGGACCCCCAUUCCGGCAUCAUCAUCCGGUCUCACCUUCUCCUGCCAUGGAGUCAACCCAAGUCCAGUCGGAGGGUGGCCUCAAUGUCACCCUCACCAUCCGUCUCCUCAUGCAUGGAAAAGAAGUGGGAAGCAUAAUUGGAAAGAAAGGGGAAACAGUGAAAAAGAUGCGUGAAGAGAGUGGAGCACGAAUCAACAUCUCCGAAGGCAACUGCCCAGAGAGGAUAGUUACCAUCACUGGACCAACAGACACCAUCUUCAAGGCUUUUGCCAUGAUUGCUUAUAAAUUCGAGGAGGAUAUCAUCAAUUCCAUGAGCAAUAGCUCGGCAACCAGCAAGCCUCCAGUCACCUUAAGGCUUGUGGUGCCAGCCAGCCAGUGCGGCUCUCUCAUAGGAAAAGGGGGUUCCAAAAUAAAAGAAAUGAGAGAGUCCACAGGGGCGCAAGUUCAGGUGGCAGGGGACAUGCUCCCCAACUCGACAGAGCGUGCCGUGACAAUCUCCGGGACCCCAGAAGCCAUCAUCCAGUGUGUCAAACAGAUCUGUGUCGUCAUGCUGGAGUCUCCACCCAAAGGUGCCACGAUCCCCUAUCGCCCGAAGCCUGCUUCCACCCCUGUCAUUUUUUCAGGGGGCCAGGCUUACACGAUUCAGGGACAGUAUGCCAUUCCACACCCUGAUCAGCUGACCAAGCUCCACCAGCUGGCUAUGCAGCAAACCCCCUUUACCCCUCUCGGACAGACCACCCCCGCUUUCCCUGGUUUGGAUCCGACUCCCCCGGCCAGCACCCAUGAGCUCACCAUUCCUAAUGAUCUCAUAGGCUGCAUCAUUGGACGCCAAGGAACCAAAAUCAACGAGAUCCGACAAAUGUCGGGGGCACAGAUCAAGAUUGCAAACGCCAUCGAAGGCUCAUCCGAGCGACAGAUCACCAUCACCGGGACGCCUGCUAACAUCAGCCUCGCCCAGUAUCUCAUCAAUGCCAGGUUCAGGGACGUGGCCGCCAUGUGGAAUGACCCCUCGGCAAUGACUACAUCCUGAAGUGGCCUUCCAAAAACUGGCUGUGAUUUCAGACAACUCACAACAAUAAUCAGUGUAUUACCCCACGGAUUUACUUACGUUUGCAUUGUCAUAUAAAGCCUGUUGACAUCUGAAGUCACCGGAAUGGCCACACUCUAAUUUCUACCCAUCUUCCCUCUGUGCAUCACAUGGCAUACCUUGAGAUAAUGUUACUGUACCGUGUUGAUUUACUACUCUGUGUUAGAUCGUCUUGAUAUUUAAGUGAUGUCAACAUUUGCUGUAAAUACAGUAUGCAAUUAUUCACCCCUAUCUGCAAUCACUUUUGUUUGGUCCUUGAAACUGUUUUGUUUUGUAAUUUACUUUCCUUAUAUAACUUUCGUAAUAACCAACUACAUUUUAGAAGUUCUAUUCAGACUUUUUUUGUUCUGGGUUUGCAAUUGAAAAAAAUAUUUUUACUGGAUUCACUGUAUAUAUUAUAAUUUGAAAAAGAAAACAAAGCAUAGGGAUUGUUCUUUUUUGGUUUGUUUGUUUUACCUUUUCUAUUUAGUUUUGCAAACUUUAAAAUGGGUCUGUUUGACCCGCAACAUAACAUGAGGGUUAAAUGACACCUGUCAAGUGGAGACAGAACUCUAAAUGCAUGCCAACAAAGAAUUUGUUCACCCAAUAACACAAAACACUGAGUCAUGUUACUAAUGUUGAAAUAGACGUACAUGAGAAACUGCAAAGACAAGGGCUGGUGUACAUACAGUACAACAUUUAGAGAAUUAGUUCUGGUGUCAAAAGACAAGAUGGCUGGAAGCAAGCAACAGUCAUCUGUGUUUUUAUAUAUUUUCUUAAUUAAGUAUUUGACAGGCGGCAGCAUGGUUGAUGAUUGGUUAGCACAUCUGGCUCACAGUUCUGAGGACCCAAGUUCAAAUCUGGCCCCACCUGUGUGGAGUUUGCAUGUUCUCCCCGAGCCUCCGGUGUCCUCCCACAUCCCAAAACCAUGCGUGGUAGGUGGAUUGAAAACUUGAAAUUGUCCGUAAGUAUGAGUGUGAGUGCGAAUGGUUGUUUGUUUAUAUGUGCCCUGCGAUUGGCUGGCAACCAGUUCAGGGUGUAUCCCGCCUCUUGCCCGGAGUUUUCUGGGAUAGGCUCCAGCACUCCAGCGCCCCGUGUGAGGAUAAGCGGUAUGGAAGAUGGAUGGAUAGAUGGAUAGUAUUUGACAAGCCAUUCAAGAAUAAAAAAUAAAAUACCAGUUGACGCAAGCCUAUGACACGUCUUCUAUACAAGACUACUGUGGAAAAAAAAAAUAUUUCUAACUAGUUUAUUUUUAACAAAUUCAAGUGAAUAUACUGUAGAUCGAAUAAAAGACUGACAUAACAUAUCUAGUAUGUGCUGACUCCAUGAGUGGCUGAAAAAUACAGGUAUAUACAAACAUGCCUAUAGGUUUAAAUCCAUAUUUGGGACUAGACGAUUAAACAGAACACGAACAAUUAAUCGGAUUGAGGUUAUGUUUCACACAGUUGUUAUUGCUACUUUUUAGAAAUCUUUUUAAAUCCCUGAGGCUGGAUUUACAAUGCAGGUCCAAGUGCCCAAUUCCAACUUUAUGUCUACUGUGUAUACAGUUUUUAAAUACACUUUGUAUACUGUAUAAAUAUCAAGUGACACUUUUACGAUAUGAACGUGUUUACAGUCAUACGACUCACAAAAUAACCUGCAUGCUCAGAUCCCUAAAUUUCACGUAAAUAGCUCCACAAGCAUCAACCCCGGGCAGCAACAAGGCAGAAGUAAAGAAUAAUACAUAAAUUAUAAAAAUAUUUAACAUUAUAUACUGUUUCGCUGACCUGGACUAACCUAGAAUGACCAUUACUGGAAAAUAUUUUCCUUAUUUAUUGCUCACUGUAUCUAUAAUGUUGCAUAGUAGUCCAUGCUUUUUCUGUUGUUCAGAUUUACACAAGGUGAUUUUUUUUUUGGGCAUACACGGGUGUAUUAACGUCACCGAUUGAAGAGGUUUAUCCGAUUUGUGCAUUUACUGUAUGUUGCAGCCGCAUUGGCAGACAUCUGAUAACAAUCAAAUUGGUGUCAUACACAUUAUGAGCCAGCCUGAUUCAAAUCUGAAGAUCACUGGCGUUUUUUUCAUGACGCAUAUCCCAACUGUGCCACUUGAGAGAACAAAAAUAAAUAAAUCAGAAUCAGGUCACUUGUACCAUACAGUGUAAAUUCAGUCUUAUACGCCAAGAGAUUAUAUUAUUGCAAUGAUGUAAAGGCCUGUGGCUUUGUCACUGCACUUUUGGCUCAAGUAAUUUGUAGGUUAUUUGUCAUUUUCUCACCUCAAACCCAUAGGGGGCUGCAUGUAGCAUAACAGGAAGUUUCUAUUGUAAAUUCCUCCUUUCGCUUCAAAAAUACUAAACUGCUCUCUGUGUGCGUUAAGGAUGAGACUGCAAUCAGCAGUGAAUUUAAGCUAAAAUUACAAAGGAAGUGACCGUGUUACAGGCGAGAUGCAAUUAAAUGUAGCAGUACGUGUCUCUCAAAAGCGAGUGGUGUGUGAUAAUCUUUUGUCUGGGUAAUUAUCUUUGACUGACAGAGCGAAUGGUAAAGGUGCUGAAGGAACACCUUGGUAACCUUUGUCCCUUUUACACCCACUGCCAUCAGGUCAAGAUCUCUGGGGACAUGUAGAAUAGAAUAGAAGGGAGAUACAGUACAAUGGGUAGCUUUCACUCUACAUUAACCCAGCCAUAAAUUGCACCUUUACAAUGUUUUGUGAGGAUCGUGUUUCAAAGUUCAAGUAAACCUGUGAAAUGCACACAGGUACGGUGUACAUUUUAGGACAUCAUGGCCAGGUUUCAGAUGUGACACUGUCAAGUUGCUUUUAGUUCACCUUAACCCUACAGCAGCAUGUAUAAGCUUAAACGUAACCAGGUGCCAUGAAUGUCUUUGUUUGUUCAUGAAAUUGCACCAUUGACUGGCAAAACAUCAACCAUACUAUCAACAUGGCCUUAGAAAAAAUGCUUCCUUAGAGGAACAGCUUCAAUCGCUAAAUAUGUUAGACAUCCAGUUAGAUGGCAGACAGGUCAUGAUUGUGGCGGAAAGGCCUUAGGCUGGAAGCAAAGACUCUCGAGCAAGCGGGUUAGGACAGUGAUUUCCAACCUUUAUGGAGCAAAGGCAUAUAUUUUACAAUUAGAAAAUCUUACGGCACACCAACAAACAAAAAUGUCACAAAAAGUAGAUGCACAGUAAUUACUGUAUGGAAUUCCUGCCAUCUAAUAGAAGAGCAUUUAUUUGUUCUGUCUGCCUCGCUGGCAUAUAUAGAGGAACAAAGAUACAUUAUUUCUUGUAAAUGAAUAAUUUUUUGAACAGUUAAGUAAAAUUUUAUAAUUUCCCUGAAGAUCGCUCAUGGCACACUAAUGUGCCAUGGCACACUGGUUGGAAAUCACUGGGUUAGGAGGAAUCCGGUGCAGAGUACAGGCAGGCAGGGAACCGGUUCCAAACCGGGAGUGCCAGAUGUGAGUGGGUAACAAAAUGGGAAUAGAAGAUUUACUGGUCAGAACAUAUAGUCACAAUACAAACUAUUAUUGGGAUUAUAAAGUGACUGGAUGCAACGAAUUUAACAAAAGCUGUUGUUUAACUCUGGCAACAUGGUGAAGUCCAAAGCCAGUUUAAGAGCAGGCGGCUACUAAUUAUUAGGAUAAUGUGCAGCAGCUGGUUGACUCCAACACGCCUUUGUCCAAACUUGCAAUCAAUUUGUCAAUCUCAAACUCUCUCUCAAUCUUUCAAUCUCAAACUCUUUCAAUUGUUUGAACUCAAACUCUCUCUCUCGCUCUCUCUCUCUUUCCCCCCUUUCUCUCUUUAGUUAUCUCUCACUCUCUGACUUUCUCUUGCUCUUUCAGAAUGACAGGGGAAAGGGCCAGAGGUCAGGUUGCAGAGACAGCAGACCUGACAAAAUACUUCUGUAGGAGUAAGCCCUAAUCUUAACCCUAACCCUCAAUUCCAUAAACAUUCAAAAUCUAUUGUUGACACCUGGUGAUUGUAAAGCUGAUGUCUGAUACCAGUUGCUUGGCAGAUGUGCUCCUGAGAUCUGUUGUAUUUUUUUCCAUCUUACAACUCAGGGUGUCCCAAAAUGUGCACCGUACACAGGUCGUCUUGACACUUUAUUCAGUGUGACCAGUUUGCAAAGAUCUCUGUUGCCUUUGCUCAUGCUUUCAUGUAUGCCAAGGUUGAUUGCGAAAAUGUGUCAUAUGAUCAUGUUUUUUAACAUCUGUGUGGAUGUCUAUUUAUUGAGGUUGACAUUGGAUUGUUUUGUAAACAGAGAAUAAAGUUUGAGUCCAUUUUUCCUUGA